rnacentral:other from 1 species
UUGCUCCUGUCCUGUGCGUGUAGAAUAGACAAUCUUGAGCCAACACUCUUUUUAAGGGAGCCCAACGUUGGGUGUGGAAUGCAUGUCCUUCUUCGAAGGAAAGCAUGAAGUAUCCAGGAGGGCACCCACCUAUAAAAAGGGUUCAUAGAUUCUUAUUCUUACGGCAGGACGGGAGUUUU